CUUGGGGCACCUGGGGAGCAGCUGGGCCUGAUCAGGAAGGGAGCCUGGAGCCUUGCUCUGCGUCUCUGCUCAGCCUCUCUCCAUGAUACCAGAAACGACUGGAAUGUUUCAUUCCUCGGACUUUUUCUGAGACUUAUCAGCGGCCUUAUGAAAAAGUACCUGUUCGCCCGUUUAUUUUUAGCUAUCAUAUUAAACAUUCCAGCCGAAAAUUACAAGAUCAAAACUCCCAAAGGUCGGCUGCCUGCUUCCUAGCUUGCUUUUGAGAACUGCUUAGAAGCUGCGAGCCGCCAAGUCCCACGCGUGACUAUCCUGGGAAGGCGCGGAGGCCGCUGUCCCUGGGGGCGCCUCCCCUGGGUUUGGAGGCGCUGUGCGCUCUGUCAGGCGAGAGGAAACGCGCAUUAGCCAAAUCCAGGCAGGCCGCUCAGAUGCUGUAAAAGAUUCCCAGUAGACCUGCUUAACGCUUUUCUGACUGAUCUUCGGCUUCAAGGUUAUUAUACCCAAGCCGACUGCACAUUACUAAAGUACAUUACUAAAUUACUUAGUAAAGCUGGUAUAUUCCAACAACGCUGGCCGCACACCAGAAUCAAACCAGUCUGGACCUUGGACAGAUCUGACCCCCUGGCCAAGAGAUGAAGCCUGGGGCUGGAGCUCAAAGUGUCUAAACCCAGCCCAGGUACUCCUGGGACUCCUGGCUGGGUCAGAGGCUCGGGAUGGGAGGGGAGACUACGUGGGACUCAUUUCUCCUGUGCUGACUGCCAUACUGCCAUUCCUGCUAUUUUCUGAAGUCUCCAAGCUGCAGCGAAAGGACCCAGUGUUAAUACAUUCAUUCACACUGAGGUAUAAGGGCCUAAGAAGAUGUAUGCAGACCCACCCACGAACAGCCACAUUUUACCUAAGCCAAGCUUUGAGCAGGCAGUUAAAAUACAGAAACGGGAACAGAGUUGGCAACCUCUCCAACUCUUCCCCCAGGCUGCAUUUUUAUGCCUCAAAAUCAGAUUCUGCCUGCGUGUCUCAGAAAACCUUAGAAAUGUCUUCUCCGAAGCCUCCUCCCGCGGUCAGUCUCUGUCAUGUGCUGCGUUCUGAAGCCUAGACCGCGCUCUCCCCAUCAGCCCUCUUAGCCAGAGCCCUGUGCCACGUCAGGUUGCUCAGUGGGCACAGAAAUGUCUCCAAGGCACCUUCUAAACCUGCCAAGGCCGAUUCAGAAACAGAAGGCUGAAGCCAAAUGGAGACGUUGGGGGAGCCCUCGUGGAGAACAGAGCUGGCCUGGACCUGAAGGCAAUUUAUUACUAAUGCAGUGAGAGGCUGCAACCAAACAAGACCACAUGGACAUUGGCACAGAACACAUGGAAAGUUCUGUCUUCACUCAAGCCUGUGGCCUGUCCUAGAACAAAGGAGCAGAGGUUCCUUAAAAAUAAACGCAGCUGACUCUCCA
rnacentral:lncRNA from 1 species